CUUCCAGAGCUCGCCUCCCCCUAUCCCACACAGCGCGGAACCCACUCGGAGACUGCAGUGGGGCUUCCUUUCCCGCCCGCCCCGCCAUCCCUGCUCUCUCCCCAGCGCUGGCCCCUCCUCCUUCUUCCAUCACUGUGUCUUCUUUCCAUCUCUCAGCUGCCUGAGGCUUUUUGUUCCUCUUUCUUGGACACAACCCUUGCCCACUCCCUCGUGUCAACAUGACCUUCACACUGAGGGUGUCUACACGUCCUCACUCCCCGGGGUCCUUUCAGGUUCACGGUGACCCCAUGUGACACAUAAUGAUGGGAGCCAAGGGGAGGUCAGAGAGACAGAGCCCUUCUCCCAAGGUCACAGCCUCUCGGAGUGGCCCUGCACUACCCACAGGCUGCACGCCUGCCACCAUGUUCCCCUUGCUGUCCACCAUUUAGCCUGGAUGAUGGUUAUGGACACACUGUCCACCGCCUGUGCUGAUCAACAGCUCUGGGAGGAGGGGCUCACCCUGCAGUGUGCUCCCCACAGCAUCUGGCACAACAACCCAGCCAGACGGACAGUGAUGGGCUCCUGCUCCACCACCAACUCAGCACACACGAUCUGUAAGACCAAACAUGUCACUUCUGUCAUCUGAAGCUGGACCUCAGGUAAGUAACUGUGUCCCUUGGACAGGGCCUUUAAACUUUUCAAAAUGUCGCUAAGUCCACUAACUCCGUCAAUCCUGGCAGCAGCACUCUGAGAAAUGUCCCCUCAAGAAAUGAUCUAGGAGUCUGAUUUCCUCAGCAAGCAUAGCACACAGAGAAGAGGUACAUGGCCGUGGAGCCAGAACCCCAAGCUCCCUGUCCCUGGACACGGCAAGCCUGACGGUCAAACAGCACUUGCACACUGGAGAACACGCAGAUGUUCUGGAGAUGGUUUGGAAACUUUAUUCACUAUACCCUGCACGAUGGCUGAGAAGAGGACGCCAAAGUAUUUUAUGACUUCAUUGCCAUUAUGAACCUAAAAAUUAUAAAAACUAUAUUUUGCACUUGAUACUAUUGCUGGCAUAUUUUAUAUUUAAUGGUGUAAAUGUAUGUUCCUUAUUAAAUAGGCCAACCCCUUUCACCCCACCGAUUAAUAGGAAGGAUGAACAUACAUCUGUUUCCACUGGACCUACUAAGCUAGCAUGCUCACUUACAGGUCCU